GAUGAACGCUGGCGGCGUGCCUAAUACAUGCAAGUCGAGCGAACAGACGAGGAGCUUGCUCCUUUGACGUUAGCGGCGGACGGGUGAGUAACACGUAGGUAACCUACCUAUAAGACUGGGAUAACUUCGGGAAACCGGAGCUAAUACCGGAUAAUAUUUCGAACCGCAUGGUUCGAUAGUGAAAGAUGGCUUUGCUAUCACUUAUAGAUGGACCUGCGCCGUAUUAGCUAGUUGGUAAGGUAACGGCUUACCAAGGCAACGAUACGUAGCCGACCUGAGAGGGUGAUCGGCCACACUGGAACUGAGACGCGGUCCCGACUCCUACGGGAGGCAGCAGUAGGGAAUCUUCCGCAAUGGGCGAAAGCCUGACGGAGCAACGCCGCGUGAGUGAUGAAGGUCUUCGGAUCGUAAAACUCUGUUAUUAGGGAAGAACAAACGUGUAAGUAACUGUGCACGUCUUGACGGUACCUAAUCAGAAAGCCACGGCUAACUACGUG
rnacentral:rRNA from 1 species